GUCGAACUGAGGCAUCCUGAUCAGCCAUGCCCGCGUGUGUGAUGAAGGCCUUCGGGUUGUAAAGCUCUUUUGGCAAGGAAGAAAAGGCUCUGGUUAAUACCUGGAGCUGCUGACGGUACCUGCAGAGUAAGCACCGGCUAACUCCGUGCCCGCAGCCGCAAUAAUA
rnacentral:rRNA from 1 species